rnacentral:tRNA from 1 species
AAGCAAUUAUAAAUGUUUGAUUUGAAAUCAAUACUAAAAGUAUUAUUACUUGUUGUUUU